CGUGUCGUGUCCAGUAAAGGCCCAAAACAUUUAUUCUAAAUGAAAAUAAAGCUAAAAUUUACAUAUAUUAUUGGUAACAAUGUUAAGAUAUAUUACCGAGUUUUUGAGUUCAUUACAGAAAAUACAUAAAUAACAUGAAAUAAAGAGACAUAAAAUAAACUAACACAUAUUCAAUUUAACUAAGUAAGGAUUGAUUCAAGCUAAGCAUACAACCAAAAUAGAACACCACUUGCCACAAAAUCAAAACCUGCAGUGAUUACGAGAGAUGAACCCGGUAGAUUAACAGCGUACCCGGUGAUCAUACUCUUAAGGAUCAGACUAUCAAGAACAACUUGUGGAUACAUCUUAAAUUGCAGCUUCCGCAGAUAGAACUUCACCUGAGAUAGAGAACACCCACAAAGGCAAUAACGAGCUUGAUUUGGAGAAGGAGCAACUAGUACACGCCACAAGCCAUCGAACAUGCACCAAAAUGACCGCGACCCCACCAAACUAGGGAAAAUGACGACGCCUUCAACCAACCGAGACGACUCACCCACACGGAGAAGGACAGACAAAGGAGGCAAAGGAACGAGAAAAACCCGAACCCAAAUCCAGAUCUUACGCCAGAUCCAGACCACCGCCACCACGAAUGACCAGAGAGAAUCCUCAUCCACUCAUCUGCCUUGUUUCUCCGGAUAUCAAAACCCCAUAGCGCCAGAUCUAGCACCGCGAUGACGUCGAAGGAGCAAGGAGACGAGAAGGUCACCGGCCACCCAAACGGCAGAGAAAAAAAGUAGGUUUUCUAGAGAGAAUUUUAGAGGGAAAAAUUGACGAGAGAUGUUUUUUAUCCGCUGUUUUUCUAUUAAAAUUUACAUAUAUCAUAAAACACAUGUUGAAAAAUAUAAACAUGAAUGACAAAUGCAAAAAAAAACAAAAACUAUACAAAUAAUUACAUCUAAUAAUAAAAUUAGUAUUUGAUCGUGUAAAACAACC
rnacentral:lncRNA from 1 species